GAGCACUUAGUGUGAUGUCUGGCACAGAGUUUACACCCAUUACAUGGUAACUAUUAUCUCUAUUUUCAUCUUCUUUCUUUGUGAGUGUCUGUGUGUGUGUC